UUCUGGAUAAUGUAGCCACAAACAGAGGAGCAGAGACCAGAUCUUGAAAUAAGGUUUCUUCCACAAAAAAAGGUAAUGGAACUAACUAUGUAACUACAGUUUAUUUUUCAAACUGAAAGUAUGAGAGCAGACGGUAUAAGGAAAGAGAGGAACGCUUCUGCAGCAAGAAUGGAACUUUCUCUUUACCUUUCUCCCACUCUCCCAAGGUAUCCCAAAUAAUCUAUUCAAUCCUAAUAAGAAAUUAUGAUCUGGACAAAAGCUGAAUAAAAACUUCAUCUUUUUCUGGUCAGCACACUGUACAGGAAGGAGUGCAAAGCAGCCUUGCUGAAAGGCAUAGGCUGUGAGUCAGUGACUGUUCAUACUUACGCUCUUGUUUCAUUGGCUAUGGAGCAAGCUACAGACUUGGGCUUAUUUUCUUCGGAGAUGCAUUUCUGCUUCUGCAACACUGCUGCACUUGGAAUCAGUAGAAGUUUCCAAUUUAGGCUUCUUUGUUGCGGAGAAAUCUGUCAUGAGGCAUUUUCAAGGCAAAGUACUGGGGUUUUAGAGACCUUCCAAUAAUCCAGGGUAGUCCAAAUCAGCUCUGAUCCUAGACACAGUGCACCGAUCCUUUCCUUCCUGGUGUGGGGUGUGUGAAGGGAGAGAAAAAGAACUGGUAUAGGUGAAUACAUUUUCCUAUUUGGUUUUCUGAAUAGGGCUAGAUUAAGUUUUGAGUGGCUGUACUUUUUAACAGUUAGGAGUGUGCCUCGACCAGUGACGGGUACCUCAUUUUUUCAGCCUAUGUUUCAAAGAAAAGGAACCUCCUCUGCUCAUGCUGGCCGUGUCCCCCCUGGGUUUGGGGAGCGAUAACGAGUUGUGCCCCGGAAGGUGGCGCUGAGGAACCUGCUGAAAAGGCGGGAGUGCCCGGGGAGCAGCGCUGGCCUCAGGCCGCUCGGAUGGGUGGGCAUCGGCUGAAGACUUAUCCAAGAAUUGUAUUUGUUCUAAACCUGCUGAAAUGCUUGUGUACAGGAGAAAAGUGAACUAAUGUAACCUGAGACUUGGUUUAAAACUGACUUAAAUGGUUCCAGGGAUAGAAGGAUGCUCAGCCAUCUGUUCCUGAUGCACAGCUAACACAAAACCUGUGGGAUGAAGAACCUCCUUUGAGAGACUCUGAAGAAAGCAUCAUAUUGGGGAAGGCUUGUCCGUAGCUGGUACAAUGCUUGGUGAUGGAGUAAGACUUUGUACAAUUUUAAGAGUGGAACUUACCUCAACACUUGAUCACCUGUUUAAAAUGCAAGCAGAGUGGUACAAGUUGCCUGUUUAAUACUAUUUCCUCUGUGUUAAGUCUCUUCAGAGUGGACAGUCUCCUCGGGAGGUUUUUCACGUCAUUAGUGUUAGUAUCAGAAUGACUGUCAGAGAAGACUAUGCUUCUGUCCUAUGAAGGAUCUGAUAGAAAGACUGAAAAUAAGAAAUCAUAUUCCCACUUCUAAAAAAAAAAAAUAAAUGUUACAAUGUUUAGAUGUUUGAGAGGAGCUAUUACAGUUUCAGAGUCUCUCAUCCAGAAAUAUCAGGCAUAGAAAUGCACAAAUGCGCUUGGAGGAGAGAGACAGAAAAUCUUUUGCUAUGAACCUUUUGCUUUCCUUAGCCACACAACUCCUGCAAGAAAUUAUGAAGCCAAGACGUGUGACAAACAUGGUUCUAAUUACUGAUGCCAGUAACUGUGCCAGGAAAUGGUGCUGGUUCUGGAAACAAUAAAAAAGCAGCAGGGUCCCCCUGCUUAAACUUAUCUUUAAAGAGGAUUUGUCUCCUUUUUCCAUGCCUUCAGAACUCUGCCUGACAUCACCUGGGCCUCCGCACACAGUCUGGCUAAGAGGACACUUUCUGACUUCCAAGAAAAACAAAUGGAAAUGCAAAGAGCUUGCAUCUGGCCUGUUACCUCAUCCUCAGCCACCUGGACUGCUUGAGAGUCGUCAUGGCAUUCCCAGCUCCUUUUUGCUUGCUACAUAAUAAAUUUAAAAGGCUGUUGAGAAAAGAGAUGUUCACUGAAAGAAGCAGACAACACUUAGAGCUCAAAGAGGUAGAAGGACUGAUCUGCAUUAUUUCUAUGCGAACCCAUAAGUUUCUUCAAGUAUUAAAGAAUCUGUACGUUCAAUAAAAGCUCCC